rnacentral:rRNA from 1 species
GACGAACGCUGGCGGCGUGCUUAAUACAUGCAAGUCGAGCGGGUGUAGCAAUACAUCAGCGGCGGACGGGUGAGUAACGCGUGGGCAAUCUGCCCUCUAGCCUGGGAUAACAGUUCGAAGGGACUGCUAACACCGGAUAUGCUCCCAGCCUGGCAUCAGGCAGAGAGGAAAGUUUACACUAGAGGAUGAGCCCGCGUCCCAUUAGCUAGUUGGUGAGGUAACGGCCCACCAAGGCGACGAUGGGUAGCCGACCUGAGAGGGUGAACGGCCACACUGGGACUGAGACACGGCCCAGACUCCUACGGGAGGCAGCAGUAGGGAAUUUUCCGCAAUGGACGAAAGUCUGACGGAGCAACGCCGCGUGAGGGAUGAAGGUUUUCGGAUCGUAAACCUCUGUCUUCAGGGACGAUAAUGACGGUACCUGAGGAGGAAGCCACGGCUAACUACGUGCCAGCAGCCGCCGUAA